UACGAAGGGUGCUAGCGUUGUUCGGAAUUACUGGGCGUAAAGCGCGCGUAGGCUGUUUAUCAAGUCAGGGGUGAAAUCCUGGGGCUUAACCCCAGAAUUGCCUUUGAAACUGUUAAACUAGAGUGUCGGAGGGGAUAGCGGAAUUGCUAAUGUAGAGGUGAAAUUCGUAGAUAUUAGCAGGAACACCGGUGGCGAAGGCGGCUAUCUGGACGACAACUGACGCUGAGGCGCGAAAGCGUGGGGAGCGAACAGG
rnacentral:rRNA from 1 species